GACGAACGCUGGCGGCGUGCCUAAUACAUGCAAGUCGAACGAACCGCGACUGAGUGCUUGCACUUGGUCAAGGUGAGUGGCGAACGGGUGAGUAACACGUGGGUAACCUACCUCAUAGUGGGGGAUAACAAUCGGAAACGACUGCUAAUACCGCACAGGACAUGGAAUCACAUGAUUCUGUGAGGAAAGGUGGCGCAAGCUAUCGCUAAGAGAUGGACCCGCGGUGCAUUAGCUAGUUGGUAGGGUAAGGGCCUACCAAGGCGAUGAUGCAUAGCCGACCUGAGAGGGUGAUCGGCCACAUUGGGACUGAGACACGGCCCAAACUCCUACGGGAGGCAGCAGUAGGGAAUCUUCCGCAAUGGACGCAAGUCUGACGGAGCAACGCCGCGUGAGUGAAGAAGGUCUUCGGAUCGUAAAGCUCUGUUGUUAGAGAAGAACAGCGCAUAGAGUAACUGUUAUGCGUGUGACGGUAUCUAACCAGAAAGCCACGGCUAACUACGUG
rnacentral:rRNA from 1 species